AACGAACGCUGGCGGCAGGCCUAACACAUGCCAGUCGAGCGAGCAUUUCGGUGCUAGCGGCGGACGGGUGAGUAACGCGUGGGAACGUGCCCUUUUCUGCGGAAUAGUCCUGGGAAACUGGGGGUAAUACCGCAUACGCCCUUUUGGGGAAAGAUUUAUCGGAGAAGGAUCGGCCCGCGUUGGAUUAGGUAGUUGGUGGGGUAAUGGCCCACCAAGCCGACGAUCCAUAGCUGGUUUGAGAGGAUGAUCAGCCACACUGGGACUGAGACACGGCCCAGACUCCUACGGGAGGCAGCAGUAGGGAAUCUUAGACAAUGGGGGCAACCCUGAUCUAGCCAUGUCGCGUGAGUGAUGAAGGCCUUAGGGUUGUAAAGCUCUUUCAGCUGGGAAGAUAAUGACGGUACCAGCAGAAGAAGCCCCGGCUAACUCCGUG
rnacentral:rRNA from 1 species